AAAGGACUUUUUGUCAGGGAGCAAAACUUACUGGUUAAUACCCGGUGAGGCUGAGAGUACCUGAAGAAUAAGCACCGGCUAACUACGUGCCAGCAGCCGCGGUAAUACGUAGGGUGCAAGCGUUAAUCGGAAUUACUGGGCGUAAAGCGUGCGCAGGCGGACUUUUAAGCCAGAUGUGAAAGCCCCGAGCUUAACUUGGGAAUUGCGUUUGGAACUGGGAGUCUAGAGUCUGUCAGAGGGGGAUGGAAUUCCACGUGUAGCAGUGAAAUGCGUAGAGAUGUGGAGGAACACCGAUGGCGAAGGCAGUCCCCUGGGAUAAGACUGACGCUCAUGCACGAAAGCGUGGGGAGCAAACAGGAUUAGAUACCCUGGUAGUCCACGCCCUAAACGAUGUCUACUAGUUGUUGGGGUAGCAAUACCUCAGUGACGCAGCUAACGCGUGAAGUAGACCGCCUGGGGAGUACGGUCGACAAGAUUAAAACUCAAAGGAAUUGACGGG
rnacentral:rRNA from 1 species